rnacentral:rRNA from 1 species
AAGUCGUAACAAGGUUUCCGUAGGUGAACCUGCGGAAGGAUCAUUAAUGAUUUUUAAAGCGAGUCGAGCGUUAAGCGAGGCUUGCGAAAUAUUUAAAACCCCACUCUUUUUUAACUUUAAAAAAAUAAAUCAUGACACAUGAAUUUAAAAAAAGAUCACUUUCAACAACGGAUCUCUUGGUUCUCGCAUCGAUGAAGAACGCAGCGAAAUGCGAUAAGUAGUGUGAAUUGCAUAAUUUUGUGAAUCAUCGAAUCUUUGAACGCAAAUUGCACUCCCUGGUAUUCCGGGGAGUAUGCCUGUUUGAGGGUCGUUAGAAUAAAAAUCGAAGCGUCGCUCUUUUUAAGGGUGAUCGCGUCGGAAUUGAGCCGUCUUUCAAAUGUUAAUUCAUGUCAAAGUGGCUUAAAAUUCAUCCAUCCGGUACGAUUAAAGCGUAUUUAAGAUCAAUUUUGAUUAAGAACGCGCGAUGAACAUACCAUCUCAUGUAGUACGUUUGACUUGACGGUCGUCAGGCUCAUUCGUAUACGAUACUCAAACUUUUGACCUCAAAUCAGGUAAGAAUACCCGCUGAACUUA